CUCGCCGGCACUUCCGGCGCGGUCUGCUUCGACCGGUCUCCCGCGGAGCCGAUUAAGCGCGGACGCCGAGCCCAGCUCGCUUCUGAGCGCCUGCUGCGGGCGUGGCGACGCCAUGGAGCGUUUUGAUAAAGCGGCUCUGAACGCGCUGCAGCCGUGCGACUUCAGAAAUGAAAGUUCACUAGCAUCCACUCUGAAGACGCUCCUGUUCUUCACAGCUUUAAUGAUCACUGUACCUAUUGGGUUAUAUUUCACGACUAAAUCUUAUGUUUUUGAAGGCGCCUUUGGGAUGUCCAAUAGGGACAGCUAUUUUUAUGCUGCUAUUGUUGCAGUGGUCGCUGUCCACGUGGUGCUCGCCCUCUUUGUUUACGUGGCCUGGAAUGAAGGCUCAAGGCAGUGGCGUGAAGGCAAACAGGAUUAAAGUGAACAUCACCUUUUGAUAGCAUUAAAUUGAUUUUUUUUAAAUGGUAAAUGUGUCUGGAGUAAAUGAUUUUAUGAAUGAAGUCUGCUGUAGAAUGCAUCUGAUGUCAUUAGCUCUUCAAGUGGAUACCAUUUUACAUAUGACAGCAGAAUUCGGUUUUGAAUUGCUGAAGAAAUUUAAACCCUCCAUAAAAAAGAAAAAAAAAACAACCUGCGUUUCAUGGGAAUAUAACAGAAAUAUACUGUAAGAUUAUUUUCAUCAUAAAGGUCUCAUCAGCUUUGCCCAAAAAGCAACUGCUUGACUUGUUUGGUGUUUAUUUUCUGUUUUCGUAUAAAUUUUAUAUAUACAGCUAGAGUACCCAAGGAGACCAGUAAAAACAGUUAAACAGAUAGGGUGUACCCAAGGAAAGAUGAAAGCUGAAGGUACGUGAGACAAAGAAUUUAUAUCCUGUUUUAAAUGCAUCUAGCGUAUAUUUCUUGUCUCCAGACAAGUUCAUGUUUAUUGUUUUAUUUAUGCUCAAGUGAAGUUGUACAUUGUUGGUAGGCCAUUUUAUAAAUGGUUUGCCUAUGGUACAAGUUGCUUCACGCAGCCUCUGCUCUUCCAUUUAAGAUAGCGUUUGCAAGAGCUGGCCUGAAGCAGCACGCUCAACAACUUGACAAGAUUUCUUUUUCCUUUUUGUAGGGGGAAGGGUCACCUGAGAAAAUAAAUUAUUUUCAGGGACUUUGGGAACCUAACGAUAAAUAUUACGUGUAACCUGUGAACAGAUUAAGCCUUUAUAUAUCAUUAAAGUACUCUGGAAUUCCUCAACCUAACAUCACUCCUGGCCACACUUUCCUUGCCUGUUUUGUUGCUACGUGUGCUUGAAAGUAAUAUCUGCGUUCCUUUGAAGAUGUUCUGUAGGUCAUAUUUGUCAGUUACAGACUAGUCUUCCUUUUUCUCAAGUUCAGUGAAAUCUCACUGAACAGUAAUAAUAGCAAUAGCUAACAUCUGCACAGCACCUUACAGUUUGCAGAAAACGUUCACAUUUUCUCGUUUUUUUUGCAUAGUGAACCUGUUAUGAGAUUUCUCUUGACCUUGAUGCUAAAAGUGUUAGAAUCUUUGAAGUCGCUAGAGUCACUGAAUAUGCUGUAGUCUUGAAUAGCGCCCUGACAAGGGGCAGAUUUUAGAUGCGCUACCUUGAAAGCUGCGUGUGAUUAUCCAAAUGGGGGGCUUGAGUUCUUUACCCACUUGAAUCAGAUUUACUUUUGUGAGUGAUGUUUUUCUAACUUAUCUGGAUGGAUUUUGUAUUCAUUAUAUUCUAACCUGUAACUUGUAUAAAUUUACCAUCUGUUGUCAUUAAAAAAGUGUUCGUAAUUACA